rnacentral:rRNA from 1 species
UAGGGAAUCUUCGGCAAUGGACGAAAGUCUGACCGAGCAACGCCGCGUGAGUGAAGAAGGUUUUCGGAUCGUAAAACUCUGUUGUUAGAGAAGAACAAGGACGUUAGUAACUGAACGUCCCCUGACGGUAUCUAACCAGAAAGCCACGGCUAACUACGUGCCAGCAGCCGCGGUAAUACGUAGGUGGCAAGCGUUGUCCGGAUUUAUUGGGCGUAAAGCGAGCGCAGGCGGUUUCUUAAGUCUGAUGUGAAAGCCCCCGGCUCAACCGGGGAGGGUCAUUGGAAACUGGGAGACUUGAGUGCAGAAGAGGAGAGUGGAAUUCCAUGGGUAGCGGUGAAAUGCGUAGAUAUAGGGAGGAACACCAGUGGCGAAGGCGGCUCUCUGGUCUGUAACUGACGCUGAGGCUCGAAAGCGUGGGGAGCAAACAGG